rnacentral:piRNA from 1 species
UAUUUGAUGUUUGUGAAGAUGAAUACUCUG